AGACAAGACGUUCUCUUUACCCUCUUGGAACCUGCCGUUCCUGCUCUGCUCCUGAGCCCAGAUUGUUAGAGGCUUCUCUUCAUGUCAAGAGACCGAGCACCUGCCGCAGCGUUCCUGACGACCUCCGUGUGUCUCUGUCAGUCAGUGUCUCCGGGUGGCCUGCCAAGGACUGAAACCCAUCAGCUCUCUGCAGAAACCUGGGAG